AGCGGCCAAUCAGGUGCCACCGACCCCUUCCCUCUCCGGCCAAUAUAAACGUGCCGCCCACUCCUAAACGCAUGUACUCUCUACAGCCGAACCCGGGGCUCCAGCUACUACUGCUCCAUCGCGUCUCACCGGGAUUGGAAGGGUUUCAUCUGCCUCCUGUUAAAAUGAGCAUCUUUGUUCCACCGGAGAUGAUUGAAGAGAUAGUGGCCGGAGUGAAUUACCUGAAGGCUCUGGUGAAUCGGUGCUACCGGCUGGAUCCCAUGUUGGUGGAGGAAUUUGGGGAGAGUCUGACGGAGAUUCUGUGCAGGAGAUACACGAGACACUGGUACCCAGAGAAACCCAUGAAGGGACAGGCAUUCAGGUGUAUCCGGAUCAACCAGCAUCAGAAGGAUGAAAGUAUCCUGGAAUCGUGUGCCCUUUGUGGCAUCACAUACGCAGAUUUGGCACUGCCCAAAGAGCUGACGCUAUGGAUCGACCCCUAUGAAGUUUGCUGCCGGUUGCGCGAGUAUAGUCACCCAUACACCGUGGCGAGCUUUGAUCCCAGGGACAAUCGCACAAUGUCAACGAGUUUGGAGAGCGAGAUCCCAACUGCCUCAUUAGAUAGUGGUAUCGAGUGCACCAGCCCCAGCUCAUCAUUCGCAUCUUCGAUAGGCGACGUGGGAGAAGAUAUGGACAGCGGGGUCGACAGCAGCGCAGAGGAACUGACCCACCUUUACUCACAUCAGACGGCUUGGACCCCCGGUGGGAUUUGCCAAACUCCGACCACUAGACCCUUAUACAAAACCUCUUCCCCACUAUGGAUCCCCACUUGGAGAGCAGCAGACUAUAUGUACAACGCUGUGAGCGGAACUACUGGAUGUAGUUAUAUUCCCUAGAGAAGCCACAGAAGAGGGGCGCCACCUGCAGGACACACUGGGAGGAAGAAUGGAGGCACAUUGGGGCCAAUAGUAAGAAGAGAAGGAGUUUCGUUUACAAAGAAGAAAAUGAAAAGAUUGACCAUUUUAAUUGGCUUCCAUCAGGAAGAAGAGUUGAUAUAUUGCAUAAGCAAACCUGUUCCGAUGGGCAAACACGUCUGCCGUUACUGCCGCUGAUGGGACUUAGGAGAGAUGAAAGACUAUUCAUUCACAUACAGCAAAUAUUAACAUACGUGUACUUCUGCCACGUGUAUAGAAUUCAGACAUGUAUAGAGGAGUUCUUCUGCUGGACAGGAGCCUAAGUGUAUUUAUUUCUUAAUUUUAUAUAUUUUUAUAGAAAACAUUGGUAUUUUAAUAUCAAUAAACUUUUAUGAUUUUUGAAAAGCAA